GUGGGGAAUUUUGGACAAUGGGGGAAACCCUGAUCCAGCCAUGCCGCGUGCAGGAUGAAGGCCUUCGGGUUGUAAACUGCUUUUGUACGGAACGAAAAGGUCUUUUCUAAUAAAGAAGGCUGAUGACGGUACCGUAAGAAUAAGCACCGGCUAACUACGUGCCAGCAGCCGCGGUAAUACGUAGGGUGCGAGCGUUAAUCGGAAUUACUGGGCGUAAAGCGUGCGCAGGCGGUUAUGCAAGACAGAUGUGAAAUCCCCGGGCUCAACCUGGGAACUGCAUUAGUGACUGCAUAGCUAGAGUGCGGCAGAGGGGGAUGGAAUUCCGCGUGUAGCAGUGAAAUGCGUAGAUAUGCGGAGGAACACCGAUGGCGAAGGCAAUCCCCUGGGCCUGCACUGACGCUCAUGCACGAAAGCGUGGGGAGCAAACAGGAUUAGAAACCCCAGUAGUCC
rnacentral:rRNA from 1 species